rnacentral:rRNA from 1 species
UACGUAGGGUGCAAGCGUUGUCCGGAAUUAUUGGGCGUAAAGAGCUCGUAGGCGGUCUGUCGCGUCUGCUGUGAAAACUCGGGGCUUAACCCCCGGGCCUGCAGUGGGUACGGGCAGGCUAGAGUUCGGUAGGGGAGACUGGAAUUCCUGGUGUAGCGGUGAAAUGCGCAGAUAUCAGGAGGAACACCGGUGGCGAAGGCGGGUCUCUGGGCCGAUACUGACGCUGAGGAGCGAAAGCGUGGGGAGCGAACAGG